rnacentral:rRNA from 1 species
UACAUGGGGUGCAAACGUUGCUCGGAAUUAUUGGGCGUAAAGCGCACGUAGGCGGUUUGUUAAGUCGGAUGUGAAAUCCCUCGGCUCAACUGAGGAAGUGCAUCCGAAACUGGCAGGCUUGAGUACUAAAGAGGGUCGCGGAAUUCCCGGUGUAGAGGUGAAAUUCGUAGAUAUCGGGAGGAACACCGGUGGCGAAGGCGGCGACCUGGGGUAGAUACUGACGCUGAGGAGCGAAAGCGUGGGGAGCGAACAGG